rnacentral:lncRNA from 1 species
CCCCUCCCCGUAUGAUCCUCGCUCACCGGCGGGACCGAAUCCAUCCCAGCCUCCGCUGCUUGGAUUUCAGCCCCGAGCCUGAUUUUUUGGGGGAGCAAAGCGGCUUUUUGUGCCCCCCUCCAUGGCACCCCCUCAGGGUGUGCCCCGGUUUUGGCCCCAGAUGCAGGGGGGGGUAACGGGGAGGCGGCGGUGGCGGCGCGGGAGCCGGGUGUUUACGGAGGCGCAGGCGGCGUUGCACAACAGGCAGCACGGGUACACCGCGUCCCCGCUGCCGGAGGAAAUCCCCCCAAAUUCUUCCUACCGGCGAGGUGGCCGGAUGCGCUCAUGGCCAGAUCCGGCCCUGCGAGCCUCCUCGCCCCGCUCUGACCCCGGUUCCUGCAGCAAAACGGUGCCGCUGAGCGGGGACGAGGCACCCGCGGCACCCACACACGUGGGGACCCAGCGCCCCGCUCGUGCCCCUGCGCCACCGCAGGCCGGAUCCUGCCCUGCCACCUCCAACACCGCCAGCCCUGGGCCUUUCCACGUGCGUUUCAAACCCCAAAAUUUCCAGGUUGGGAUCCAAAUUUGCGUUGCCUCCAGCUGGGGCUGGAUCAAUGUCCCCAGCCCCGAGGCCGGCGGCGUUUCCUUCCAGCAGCUCCCACCGGGACGGCUUUUCCCCGGCCGCAGGACGCGCACAUUGCCGAGGUUCUCCCUCCUCCAGGGGGAAAAAAAAAAUUAAAAACCCGAAUUAUUAUUAAACAUGACGCGAGUGUUAAUGCAUUGAGAGAGGGGGGAAGGGUCUGAGGCUCCCUCCUGCACCCGGCGCGGGGGGGAAACCGCCGGAGAUAACGCCCCGAGCGCCGGGCGCAGGAUGCAGCGGGGCCGGAGCGGGGAUUAUAAAUAACGUCCGGCCCCGCCGCGCUGGCUGGGGGCCACUGGUAGCACAAAGUACAUUCCGGCCGGGACGUAACGAACUGUACCAGCCUCUGCCGGGGCCCCCUGGCCUCGUCCCACCGUCAGGAUUUGGGUGGCGGGGGGGGGUGAAGGGUGCGCAACCCCUUGGGGAUGUGCCGUGGGGUGGGGACGCAUCGCCGGACCCCCCGAUGUGCCCGAGUGGUUGUAGGGACACCUCGGUUAUGUUGGUUGCAUCCCACUCCUCAAAAUAAAAUAAAAUAAAUCCUGAAAAAACA